rnacentral:lncRNA from 13 species
CCACCCUUUGGUCUGGAAACAGUGAUCUGCUGUAGUUCCUGUCCUGCCCUGGCACCUAUCCCUGCUGCAGCACCGAUUACCAGAUCAGAUGUCCUCCAGCCAGCCAGCCUCCAGGAAAAGUGGUGUCCAGUGAGUCACAACCCAAGGAGAAACAGCCGCAGUUUACCGAUUUGUGUUCCUGUACAUUCUUGACUUGGGUGGCAACAAUGUUCUCAUUUAUCUUGAAUAUAUUUACUUCUAAAAAGACUGUGUCUGUCUUUUUGGGAGGAGAGCAGAGGAAUGUUUACUUGCUAGAGAACGUAAUACCAAAUACCAGUUAUCACACAUAAACAAAGCCUAUUGUCUGUGUCAUGAGAAGAGGACUACCUUGUCAGGAAGAUUUCACUUCUUACCUCUACAAGAAAAAUGCCCCAUAUUAAAAUCAGCCUGUGGCUACCUCCCUUAGAAAUGUUGUUUUCAGAUAUUCCCAUUCCUAGUUUUAGAGGCAGCCAUGGAAUAAAUAUAUAGUCUCCUCUGACCUUGGAGUCAGGAAGAAAGGGAAAUCUAUUCAUAAAAGGAGUUUAAAUUCUGACCUUGGCCACUCAAACAUGCUUCAGGUCAAAGAAGAUGGUUCAACUAACAGAUUCCUCCAGGUGAAAUUCUUCUCGGACCAACGACUCACUCAAGUUGGCACUCACGGCCAUAAGGAGAAUGGUUAGAGCAACCAGCAGGGUCCCUGGCCAUCUUUAUCCCCCAUCUGGACCUGGUCCUUACCCAUAUGAACUUGGUGAGCAGCAGCACCCUUCCCCUCAUCAUCCUGCGCCUCCUGGAGAUGACCACCUGCUACUCAACAUGAACUCCUUCGUCAUCACCAAGCAUGCCUUAUCAGCAUCCUGGGCUUCGUGGGAUUUUUGGUGGAAACCUACCAGGCCCUUGACAAGCUGAUCCAGUCUCAAGACCUCUCCUCUUUCCCAACUCUACUGGUACCUUGAAACAGCAACAAAUUUUCAACUCAAUGCCUCACUCUUCACUUCCUAAACUGACA